GGAGAGAUGUCCGAGGGGCCGAAGGAGCACGCUUGGAAAGCGUGUGUACCUUAACCAGGUACCGUGGGUUCGAAUCCCACUCUCUCCG
rnacentral:tRNA from 1 species